rnacentral:rRNA from 1 species
UACGUAGGGUGCAAGCGUUAAUCGGAAUUACUGGGCGUAAAGCGUGCGCAGGCGGCUUGCUAAGACCGAUGUGAAAUCCCCGGGCUUAACCUGGGAACUGCAUUGGUGACUGGCAAGCUAGAGUGUGGCAGAGGGGGGUAGAAUUCCACGUGUAGCAGUGAAAUGCGUAGAGAUGUGGAGGAAUACCGAUGGCGAAGGCAGCCCCCUGGGCCAACACUGACGCUCAUGCACGAAAGCGUGGGGAGCAAACAGG